ACUAAGAGACGUUGCUAUUCAGUAGGUGGUCGUUGGUUAGUGAAGAAAACUGAAACGAAGAACAGAAAAAGCAAUCCUCAGUAAAAACAAAAAUUACGCCGACCAGUGCAUGCACGUGGUUGUUGAGAUCGAUCUUCCCGAGUUCCCAAUUCAAUACCGAAUUCAGCCCACAAAGCUCAAAUUCCGCUCUGCUGAUUGUUUGGAAUUGAAACAAUCGAUGCUUAAUGUUUAUUAAAACAGUUGCUGAUUGUUUGGAAAAUCCAGUGGAUGAUCUUUUUCGUGGGGGAGAAAAUCUUGUAGAAUUAAUCCGGUUUGAACUCAAAGUUGCAGACUUUCUUUCUGACGUUCUAUAUAUAUUCCAACUUUCUAACUGAGCUAGUGUACUACGUAGCAGUGUGGUGAUUUGUUGUUUAUGUUGUUAUAUUCACCGAAUUGAACUGGUUCACACUGGGAGUACUAUGACUCUGCUAGUCUAGGAAAAAAGUAUAAAUUUUUUCCCAUUUUGUUUAGCGAGGUUGUUAGGUUCUCUGGUUAUGCAGAGUUUGCCAAUGAAGUGAAGUUCUGUUAUCCUUAAUAAUGUCAAGGCUCUUGUCUACUUAAUAAUAAAAAAUGUUCCUUUGGUAGACUAAUAGUACGCCUUCCAUAAUUGUCAUGAACUCAUGAUAUUUAGAACCUUGCAUACAAGAAUCAUUUUGUGGUUGCAUGUUAGGUUUUAAUUGAAUUGAGUGUGCGCAUUUUGAUUCUGAAAAUGAUUUUGAGGCUGGUUUGAGCUCAGUUAGUGUGAACUAUGAUUGUGAAAAAUGGAAUCUGACUUCGGUUCAGGUGGUGAUGAUGACGGGUUUUACAUGUUGAUUGUGUUUUCCACAGAGAUUAAAGGACCAAACUCCGCCUCUGCUAAAAGUGAUAAAUGCAAAGUACUCUCUCUUAAAAAGAAGCCAUUAUCAAGUAAAGAAGGACCUGGUGUUAUCCCAAGUGUCAGACAGGAAAGCAGACGACCAAGUCCACGGGAAUUAAAGUCUGUCAGAGGUUUAUGAAGGAGCCACCAACAGAUUUAUUCAGCGAGCUCUAACUUGCACUUGAAGUCCAUCAUAAUGCAAAACCAGAGCUUAAAAGUGCCUAUGCCUGCUAAGGAGUCAUUUGUCUUGUCAGCAGCUUGAUGCCUUUUUGGCAAAUGUUAAGAAACUAAACAACCACGAGCAAAACAAGAGGAGCCACUGCAGAAGGCUGAUGAGAUUUUUGGGACAGAGAAUAUAAGGACGUAUACGUUUUAUUGGAAGGAUUAUCAGUCAUAACGUCUAUAGAACCCUAUAUCCCAUAUUUGAAGGGUUGAUAACUGUCCUGAAACAUUUCAGGAGCCACUGCAGAAGGCUGAUGAGAUUUUUGGGACAGAGAAUAUAAGGACGCAUACGUUAUAUUGGAAGGAUGAUCAGUCAUAACGUCUAUAGAACCCUAUAUCCCAUAUUUGAAGGGUUGAUAACUGUCCGUGUAACUCGUGGCAAUUGAAUUCUGUAAAUUGAAUCCAUUUUUCAUGCAAUUAAAUAUGAAUCUGCAAUA